ensembl:lncRNA
UGAGGAUCACCAGCUUCCUUAUCCCCCAACUAUAUAUAUUUAUUCUGUGGAGAGGGAGGCAGAAAGUUGGAGAAAGCCCUUUGUAGCUCAACACAUGAUCUUCAGAAUAGUCAACAGACCUUUCCUGAUGGUCACCCAGUGGCCUUGCUGUUUCUCCAUGUGAAUGUGUUAUUGAAUGUUGUACAAAGCUGCCUGAAAAAGAUAUUAAAAGAAGCCUGCCAUGAGCUGAAGAUGAUCAUGUCCUCUCUAGUUUUCUGGAGUGUAAAAAUAAGACACUGUGUGAUUCUUCAGAUGAAAAACAAAACUGCUCUUACGCUAACAAGGAGGUUGGAAUAUGUGUCUUGCGUCUUAGAAAGCAUGGAAAGCAAAUAGUCAUGAAGAAAUAGAAAAUCAGGAAGACAAAUCAAUCAACUCCCUUGUCUCAUCAAAAAAUAAAGUCAGUCUUCCUUUCUCUUUUUGUGACACAUUUACUGAAAGUUUAGACAAAAGUUUAUCAAGAAAUAAUGAGAGAGGACAUUUCCAACAGAACUGUCUUUAGUUCCAACAGAUCAAAGAGUAUAGAUUAAGAAAACAAAAGAAGCCCUGUUCUGUCUGAGUUGGGGUGAAAAGCUUAAGGGAGUGUGAGAUGCAGUAGAAAGGACCUCAAGAGGCAUUUAUACUGUGUGUAUGAGAUACAGAAAGGGUACAUGGGGCAGGUCAUUAAAUUUUACUGUAGAUUGUGAAGUUUUCCCUACCUGCUUUGCAGAUUUUGGUAAAGUCUUAAGUUGCUUUUAAAAAAAGUUAUUUAUUUAUAUUUGGCUGCAUAGGGUCUUUGUUGCUUCAUGCAGGCUGCUGCUUGCAGUGGCUUCUCUUGUUGCCGAGCAUGGUCUCUAAGCCCACAGGCUUCCUGUAGGUGCAGCAGGUGGGCUCAGCAGUGUGGCUCCCUAGCUCUAGAGUGUAGGCUCAGUAGUUGUAGUGCUUGGGCUUAGUUGGUCGGUGGCGUGGAAUCUUCCCAGACGAGGGAUGGCAGCUGUGUCCCCUGCAUUGGCAGGUCAAUUCUUAUCCACUGUGCCACCAGGGAAGUCCUUAACUUGCUUAAUGAUUAUUUUUGGCUCAAACUCUUUAACUAAUUAACAUGUUAGUGUUUGCGUCAUAACCUGUGAUUCCUUUCCCUGGCUUUUUAUGCCAAAUACCCAAACACCACCAGGGCCUGGUAAAGUAGGAAAGUGAUUCUUUGAACCCUGGUUUCCUUCAGGCCUAUGGUGCCUAUGUUGCCUAUAGUAUCCGCAGCAAAUAUAAUCCCUGCUUGGCGUGUUAGACAGAGCUGUCCUCCCCAAGUCCCUUAUCCACCCAAGUUCUCUGAUUACAGUACCUGAGCUUCCCUCUGAAACGGCUGUCUUAGCCUUUCAGAAAAAAAUGUGACUGAACACAUCCAAUUUGGGUAAAAAAGACCAAUUGCAUCUUAAAUAGAAAGCUUAGCGCUUGUAGGUGAAUUUUAAGACUGUAUAACUACAGUGAAAAAUUUCAGGCAAACAUGAGUCUAUCGGUAGUAGUUCUGGCUGAAAACAAACUCACCAUUCAAAGAGGUUCCCAAAGGUCUGGGCGGGGCUACCGUCCUCCACCAGCGCCCUCUGGCGGUGGGGGCGGGGAGUGGGCGUGGCUUAGCAAUGUGGGCAGAAGCCUUUCACUGGCGCUCUCCAUCUAGAGGCUCACAGGGAGCGAGGGAGAAGCCGUUCUUGGACACAAGCUCAAGAAUAUAAGCAAGAAGCAAAGGUAAAAAUUAACAAGGAAACAACAAUAAUUUGUCUCAUUAUUAAUAGAAAAGAGGGCACCAGUAGGCUAAUAAGUGGAAAUAUUGGUCCGGAUGUGCUUCAAGGAAAGAGUUUUUGUUCAAAGAAUUCAGGGUAGCCUCGCAGGCUCUGCCUUUUGGGUCUAGGUGGCCUCCUAGAGGGGCACCGUCCUUUCUCAGGGUCUGCCCCUCCCCUUCUCGCCAGGUGAGUUGGUCCUCAGGGUUCCUCUGUGACGCUGAUAAAGGUGCUCAGGAGGGAGAUGUGAGAAUGACUGCCUUCCAUUCGCAUCCUCAGCCUUCUGUGCUCUGGCUGUCCUCAGGCCCAGCCCCAAGGGGUCAGAAGUCCUGGUCUAGCUGGUCUUCAGCACAGAGCGGUGGGUGAGGCAGUCCCAGCUGUAGAACGCGGCUCUCCAGGCGCUGCGCAGGGCUCUGAUCAGUGAGUGCAAGUGCUCCUGGAUGAAAGUAACUGCACUGGGCUAGUGGGGCUGCGGUGGGAAGGCGCCAACGCUGGGCCGGGCUCCUCUGUCCCAGUUCCCACAAAGCCCUCCUUGCCCUGUGGAUCAUUGAGAUUAUAGCCCAGUUCCCAGUGUCCUGAGAAACAUGGAUGUAUCAAAAACGUAAAAUGUACUGUUCAGAUUCUGGCUGCUAUAAGUACAUCAUUUUCUGGUUUCUAUACUAGUCUCUGCAACUGCACCCCCACUUCCUUAGAUGCAAAGAGGUGGUUGCACUAGUUUUCCAGGUGGCCUCCCAGCCUCAGGCUUGCUCUCAUAUUUAUUCCUCAUUGUCCACCAAAAAGGGGUGUGCAUGUAAGUUUGUGUGCAUGUGCGUUUGUGGGUGUGUGUGUAAC